UUUAUGGAGAGUUUGAUCCUGGCUCAGGAUGAACGCUGGCGGCGUGCCUAAUACAUGCAAGUCGAGCGAACAGACGAGGAGCUUGCUCC
rnacentral:rRNA from 1 species